ACAGCAACGAUCACGAUGAACUUUAAAUUAACUGGCAUCCCACGGAUUGCAGCGAAGAAACUGCUACAAGAGGUAAUUAAACUAUCAUGAUUAUUUACUAAAGUAGAAAUUGUCCAAAGCAAUUUUUAUACCAUACUUUUGUUUUUUUUUAAAUACGAUAUGACUGCAUCAGCUGAUCAGCCAAAUCAACAUGUACUUAUUAUACACCCCCAUGUACUUAUUAUACGCCCUGAUGCAAACCGGUUUGGACUCUACUCUGCCCCGGACAGAGACAUCUGACAUGCGUUCGUCAUGGAUGGUGGUUAGCAUGUUUACAUCCUUCCUGUCCCUAAAUUUUAGUACAAGCACAUCAGCUUUGCGAAGUGCUUUACAUUCGCCUUUUUUUUAAUUUUGCCUCUAUGAGAGAUUGUGGAAAGUCUUUUUGGCCUUUACUCGCAGAGUAAGCGCGUGGGGGGGGGGGGGGGGCAUGGAUCAGUUUUCGCACCGGGGCAACCAUGGGUUGUGUGUACGCCACUGGCGUGUUUACUUGGAUUAUCCUUAGUUUAUACCUGAAUUUCAAUUCCAGCUGAAUUUCAGAGCUAUUCCUUGAACUGUGCGAUUCUGAGAUUAAUUUGAAUCAUGGAAACAUAUUUCACAAACUCAUUAACCUCUUCAGGACCAUCAGCGGUAAAACGUGCGUUUGGACCGCUGACGGUCCUGAACUGUCAUAGCAAAAAAUGGGCUGCGGGAAGCGAUCAAAGAUCGCUCCCGCCGCUAUAACACUGUAACUAUCUCCCAGACCUCCCAGGCAGAUAGUAACAGCCAAUUGUGGCGUGUGAGCCAUCCGCGAUCGCUCACAAUUGGCUGCUGUCAAAGUGGGUGUUACAAACACUCACUUUGACAGUGAUCUCUGCCCCUCUCUCCUCUGUAGCGUUUUGUGAGGCGAGAGAGACAGAGAUGGUGAUAGUUUGUUGCAGCAGAAGUGUUCCAGAGCUUUAUACAGUAUCUAAAGUGAAUAAAAAAAAUCCCUUUUAACCCCUUCCCUGCCAGAUCUGUUACAGCAGUGCAUUUGUACUGUCUGUAUUUAAUUUUUUGCCCUUAAAGGGUUUAAUUUGUUUUAAAAAUCUGUGUCUUGGUCUGUCUUAGUCAGUUUCCUUCCCCCAAAUCUCCAUUAGAUUUUUGUGACAGGAGUUAGUUUAGGGAUUGCUGUGUAGUCUGUUUAAGAAAAAAAGUAUUAAAAAAAAGUGUGUGUUUGAAAUUUGUUUUAGUCGUGUUUAAAACAUGCAGCGUAUGUAUAACUUGCAGGAGGCAUAUGCCUUCUUGGCGUCAGACUCUGACGCCACUGACACUGCGUCAGAUUUUGACCCAGGUCAGUUUUCUGACAUGUCUAGUCAAGACGACAUGCCAUCUGUGUGUGAGCCGGCUGAAGAAAGAAGCUGUGCUUCCUCUGCUACGCCGAAUGUGGAGGAGGACUGGGUACCUCCACAGUUAGCCGAGCCCAACGUCCCCCCUUUUAGUGCCAACGCAGGCAUUAAUGUUAGUGUGGAUGGCUUCUCCCCAAUGCAGUAUGUAAAACUAUUUUUAGGGGAUACCAUCUAGGAGGAGAUUGCUUCCCAGACUAACUUUACCAAUUUAUUGAUAACAAUCCAGGUAGUUAUACAGUCAGGGAUCAUGACUGGCAUCCCACAGAUGUCCCAGAGCUUAAAAAAUUCUGGGCUCUUACAAUGCUCAUGGGGAUUAUAAAGAAGCCAUCGAUUCGCUCAUACUGGAGCACCAACACAAUAAUGUCUAGUCCAGUAUUCUCCCAAACCACGCCUAAAGCCACAUACUAGUUACUGCUGAGAUUUUUACAUUUCAGUGACAAUACCCUCUGUCACACUAGAGAUCACCCCCAAUACGAUAGGCUUCAUAAAAUACGCCCACUGCUAGACCAUUUUCAGGACAAAUUUUCGGAUGUUUAUACUCCCCAACAAAAUGAAUCCAUUGCUGAAUCGCUAAUGAAAUACAAAGGGAGAUUAUAGUUCAGACAAUACAUCCCCUCAAAGCGCUCUAGGUAUGGCAUAAAACUGUACAAACUCUGCGAGAGCGAAAGUGGAUACACAUUUGCUUUUCGUGUAUAUGAGGGGAAAGAUCUUCAACUGGACCCUCCUGGCUGUCCUGACUCCCUGGGGACAAGUGGGAAACUUGUAUGGGACCUACUAAACCCCUUGUUUAAUAAAGGUUACCACCUUUAUGUGGAUAAUUUUUAUAGUAGUGUCUGUCUGUUUAAAACACUUUAUGGUUUAUAGACACUGGCCUGCGGCACUGACAGAAAAAAUUCUAAAGACUUUCCACGAUCUCUCAUAGAGGCAAAAUAAAAAAAAAAAAGGCGGGGAAGAGUAGAGUCCAAACCGGUUUGCAUCAGGGCGUAUAAUAAGUACAUGGGGGUGUAUAAUAAGUACAUGUUGAUUUGGCUGAUCAGCUGAUGCAGUCAUAUCUUAUUUUAUGAAAAAACAAAUCAUGGUAUAAAAAGGUGGCUAUCUGUCUGAUGCAAAUAGCAACCCACAACUAAUUUUUGCUUUUUUUUUUUUUUUAAAUAAUCCAGGGAAAACCACCUUUCUCCAAUUUAAGUUGAAAAUAAUUUAUUUAACAAUUUAUGGAGAUGGACAAGUUCCAACAACGGUCUAACAAGUUUUCUGGCAGUAACACAUAACCAGCUGGCCAAAACCAGAUGACGUGUGCAUAAAAACCAGAAUUAAAAAAUUACCACUACACUUUCUUUGGGGGGCAAAAUGGUUGGGGGAAAGAAGUCAAAACACCCCAUCUUCUAUAACCGUUGAUGUCUACUUUAUAAAAAUAUAUACUAUUAACUGAGGGGUGCAAAAAUAUGUCAAACUGAAGAUAGACCAAGCAUACCUAUAUAUCAAGUUGAAAAACUGACAUUUACAAGUUCUGAUUGUUGCUUUUUGGCCCCCAAACAACCCAGCAACCCUAUACUUGGGGUGUGUCACUGUACUCGGGAGAUGUUGCUGAACAUAUUGCGGUGUUGUUUGGCAGUGACACAUAACAGGAUCUGUUAAUUCAUGCCUAAAGUACAAUGUGUGUGACAAAGAAACAAAAAAAGAUUACUACCCAAAAGUUUGACAAAGGCUGGUGGUAGAAUAUAUGGCUUGAUGGGGGUAAAAUACAUUGGCUCAAAUGGGACAUGGGCGCAGGUUGAUUACAUGUCAAAAUUCCAAGUUGGGAAACUGAUAAGCGCACCUGCCAAAUGUGGCCUUUUAGCCCCCAAAGAACCCGACAGGCCUAUGCAUGGGUGGUAUCACUGUACUCAGGAGAUCUUGCUGAACACAUAUUGGGGCUGUUGUUCGGCAGUGACACAUAACAGGAUCUGUUAAUUCAUGCCUAAAGUACAAUGUGUGUGAAAAAAACUGAAAAAAAUGUACUAACUCAAUGUUUGACAAAGCCUGGUGGUAGAAUUAGUGCAUGGAAAGUGUUAAAAUACCACCAUGUGCAAUACCCUAGGGUGUCUUCUUUUCAAAAAUAUAUAGUUUGAUGAGGGUAAAAUACAUUGGCCGGCUUCAAAAAUGUCCCAAAUAGGACAUGCAUGCAGGUUGACUACAUGUCGAAAUUCCAAGUGGGGAAACUGAUAUGCUCACCUGCAAGAUGUGGCCUUUUAGCCCCCCAACAACCCAACACACCUAUACAUGGGGGGUAUCCCUGUACUCGGGAGAUGUUGCUGAACACAUAUUGGGGUGUUGUUUGGCAGUGACACCUAACAGAAUCUCUGAAUUUCUACCUGAAUUGCAAUGUAUGUGAAAAAAUUAAACUACCUAUGCAAAGUUUGGCAAAGGUUUGUGGUGAAAUGGCUGCAUAGAAAGUAUCAAAUGAAUGAAUACCCUGGGUUAUCUAGUUUAAGAAAAUAUAUACAUGUGGGGUGUUUUUUGGAGAUUUAUGACAUAACAGUGUUACAAUGUCACUAUUGAUACAUUUGAAAAAUUUACAUUUUGAAACAGCAAUUUUCUACUUGUACUUAUAGCCCUAUAACUUGCAAAUAAAAGCAAAAAAAACCACAUAAACACUGGGUGUUUUUAAACUCAGGACAACAUUUUGAAUCUAUUUAGCAGUUUGUUUCAUUCGAUUUUGUAGAUCAGUAAAAGAUUUUUUAAGUAAAAGUAAAACGUGUUUUUUUAAAUUUUUCACCAUAUUUUAUUAUUUUUUUAAAUUAAAUUAUAUGACAUGAUAAAAAUAAUAGUAUGUAAAGAAAGCCCUUUUUGUCCUGAAAAAAAAAAAUAUAAUUUGUAUCGGAACAGUUAAUGAGAGAGCGGAAAAUUACAGCUAAACACAAAUACCACAAAAGUGUUAAAAUAGCUUUGGUCCUUAACGUACAAACAUCACAAAACCAGUCCGGUCCUGAAGGGGUUAUUAUACUGUUCAGUCCACAAUGUUUACAGAGAAUGUACUGUUUGUGCAAUGCUGCCAUCAUGUGGCCAUUUUUAUUAUUACAUGGUUUAACUUCACACAUACAAGAAUUUUUAUUUAUUUAUAAAAUUGUUACCAUGAACAUACUUGAAUCCAGGACAUACUUGAAAAAGAAAGAAAUCUCAAUGUAUCUUUUGUGGUAAAAUAUUUUAUAAAUAAUAAGCAGCUAUUUAGGAGUUAAAUCCCUUUGUGUAGGCAGCCCUAGCCACACCUCCUUGCAUGUGACUUACACAGCAUUUCUAAAUACUUCCUGUAAAGAGUCAUCUAAUGUUUACACUUCCUUUAUUACACAGUCUGUUUAAUUUAUAAUUCCUUAUCUCCUGCUCUGUUAAAAGCUUGCUAUGCCUUGCAGGAGCCUCCUGUAUGAGAUUGAAGUUCAAUUUACAGAGCGAGAGAUAAGGCUGCAUACACAGAAACAAAUGUGAUCUAACUCAUAAAUGGCAGAUAAUUCAGUGAUGAGCCUGCAGGGGCAUGAUCUAUACACCACAACUACUACUUUAAUCUAAAGUUGAUUUGGUUACUAUAGUGUUCCUUUAAAAUAGAGUCUGUUCUGCAGGAUAAACAAAUACACAUCUGAUUAUUCUACAGUUACUUUGCCAAUUCCAUCAAAAAUUAUUUCAGGUAUCUAUUACCCUUUAAAUAUCACUUUUAACAGUUAUUGCUUCCACUGGAAGGCUAUUCCAGGCAUUUACUACAUUUUCUAUAUAACACUUAGGCUUUAUUGCUUCCACAGGAUGGCUAUUCAAGGUAUCUACUACCCUUUCUAGAUAAUUGUUAGCCUCUAUUCCUUCUUCUGAAAGGCUAUUCCAGGUAUCUACUACCAUUUCUGUAUCACUGUUACUGCUUCCACUCGAAGGCUAUUCCAGGUAUCUACUACCAUUUCUAGAUCACUGUUACUGCUCCCACUGGAAGGCUAUUCCAGGUAUCUACUACCCUUUCUAUAUCACUGUUACUGCUCCCACUGGAAGGCUAUUCCAGGUAUCUACUACCCUUUCUAUAUCACUGUUACUGCUCCCACUGGAAGGCUAUUCCAGGUAUCUACUACCCUUUCUAUAUCACUGUUACUGCUCCCAUUGGAAGGCUAUUCCAGGUAUCUACUACCCUUUCUAUAUCACUGUUAACUUUCCAAUGGAAGCAGAAAAGGCUACUCUUUUUUUAUAUCACUGUUAGCCAUUACUGCUCCCACUGGAAGGCUAAUCCAUGUAUCUACUACCCUUUCUAUAUCACUGUUACUGUUUCCACUGGAAGGCUAAUCCAUGUAUCUACUACCCUUUCUAUAUCACUGCUAGCCUUUAUCUCCACUGUAUAACUGAGUAUAUAUUACUCUUUCAGUAAAUUAAGAGCGUCGUUAAUGGUAGCAGACCAGGUAUUUUUUUCCUUUACAUGUUUUACCAAAUGUUCGAAAACCCGAAAAACUAAUUUAAGAUUCUUGCAACAGUUUGCUUUAAAAAAAGAAAAGACAAUUCUAAACCUUUGAAUAUCAAAAGAAAGAACAACCCAUUGAGUGUAGAAUGUGUCACCUCUCUGUCACCUAACACGAAAGGUAAACUAUGAUUAAAAAAUUAUACGGGUUCUGAGAUUCCCAAUCCAGCAAAGACGAGCUAAGAAUGAUCUUCUUUGUUUCCCCAUCCGUAUGUGGAGACGGAUUGCCAAACCAAUAGGUUUUCCUAGAAUAGCAAUAUUGAAGUGCACCAGGUGAUAGCCUACUCCCCAACAUCGCGUCCCAGGAAGCAGGACGCCGGUAAGAGGAGGGUGAAGGGGGCGGAUAACACAUUAAUUAUGUGUUUAUGCUGCAUCUUUUGGACUCAGGUCUCAGGUGUCUGCGAAAGUGAAAAAUCAGGGAACAAAGUUGGGACAGAACCCGUAAAUAAGGACUGUCCUGCAAAAAUCGGGAAGGUUGGGAGGCCCUGAACCACUGUUCCAUACACACUGCCGGGGUGAGGCCAUUGGACUGAAUGAUCAGUCACUGCCACAGGACUCAGUGCAGUUUGUGGUGACAAAACAAACCGCUGUGGUUAGAAACACUGUAAACAUUUGAUAAGAAGGAUUAACAGCAUGGCUUGGAUGUGAAAUCUGACACAGUUAUGAUUGUGUAGCGAUUUUCAAGUAAAAAACUCACAGACAGCGAGUUAGAAAAAAUGACAAAACAAACAAAUGAAAUCCUUUAAGUAAACCAAUGUAACACAUAGAAUAGGUUCACUUUAUGGUAAGACCUCAACCAAAUACAUUCAGAUUCCUUUCUUUCAAUCCCACCACUGUAAACAGUGGUGGGGGGCAGAUGAUUAAAUAUAAUCAGUAGCGUUGGGUACAAAGUACUUUCCUUUGCAUUUGCCUUCAUGAAAUCGUAUUAUUUCUCUAGUAGUGGGUGAAAAAAUAUAGUAAUUCCCCCCCCCCCCUUAUAUAAUGAAAGGAAGAAUUAAGGGUGUCUAGUUAAAUUUUAAACUGUGCCAACUACUGGGGUACUACCUGCACUCAAAGAGUGUGUGAAUCUCAGGUUAUUAAGAAAGAGUGCGACCAGCAUGGGAUGUCAGCAGCCAAUCAGAAGUUGUUAUUUACUGAUUAGUACUCAGUAUUCCACUGUACAGGAAAGAGGAAACGUAUAGAAACAUAGAAUGUGACGGCAGAUAAGAACCAUUCAGCCCACCUAGUCUGCCCAAGGCUCUUAAAGCAGCUCUGUCACCAAACAUAGCUCUCUGCAGUCAUUUUCUCUUCUCUUUCUCUCUCCUGAUCUGUUUUUCUUUUUUUAAUUUUUCAUCUUUUUCUCGUGAAAUAAAUAAGACAUAAGUAGUCUACCUUGUCUCGUGUAUUUUUCCUACACUUGACACUUGUCAUGUACCAUUUUCCCAUAAUCCUCACCUGCCUGUGGCAUCCAUCCUCUAGAAUCUGCCAAUCUAACUCUCCUUCCCGAGCCUCACGCAUGCCCAGUACAAUCGCCUUAGCUUUUGGCUUCCUGGGCGUGUGUUUCCAUAACAACAUGUGCUCGAUCAGAAAGGGGAGAGAAAGGAAUGGUAGUAGAAGUUGGUGACAACAUGUCACUGCCAGGCUUCUGAAGAUGGCACUGGAUAGAAACAAAAUUUGGUGCUAAGAACAAAGAGCUAGUUAGAGGUAAAAGUAGGAGACCUGCACCAAAAACAUUUAUUGUGAAGGGGAAGAAGACAAAUCGGGGAGGGAGGUCUGGGGUGGAACAUUAGUAAAAAAAAAAGUGGUUCUCUUUGACAGAGCCGCUUUAAUGAUUCUUAAUAACAUGCAAAAUUAAACUAGAAUUGUUCUAUAGUUUUCAUAGAACACAUGGAACCGGUUAAGGUUUAGGAGUGUUCUAAGAUGGGCCAUUGAUACUUUGUGCUAUAAUUAUUUUCUUUGUUUUCCUCAGGUGUGCUCACUGCUAACCUAUGCUCCAUCCAACAUUUCUGGAGUUGUGAUGACUUUGUUUCAAAAGAAGAAGAUUUCAUUAAACUGUACAAAUUAUUAACCCUUUCAUAACCUUUCACAGAUCCCUUGUCAAAACACUGUCAUUAGAAUGCAAAAUGUCAUAGUGUUCCUGUAACUAAGGUAGAAAAAAAGACUUGACUCACGUUCAGCCUUUGACAAAACUUUGUUUAUAAUGCUGAACCAAAAAAAAAUGUAAUCUGAAGCAAUUUACUGUUUUGCCACAAAUUGGGGAAAAAAUUCCUUUUUGACUUCUCCCAAUCAGAUUGUCCUUGGAUCAAUAUCAACCAAUCAGAUCCAUAGAAAGACAUUUCUGAGCGUCUCUUCAUGCAUCUCUUCGUUUGUAGAGAACAUUCAGGGCAUCUAUUACAUUUUAAUAAAUAGAGAUAUUGAGGAAUUGUUAUAGUCCCGGUGCCUAAUAUACUUACCGAUUAGUGGACUAUCAGAUCAUGAGUGGUUGGGCAUGGUGGGCCAGCUCAGGGGCUUGUUAGCGACACCAAAUGCAUCACUGAGAUGUUUCUUCAUGGUUGUUCCUGCUCCCAUCCCAACUGUGGCCAGCAUUAGGUAGGUCUUUAAUGCCGAAAUUCUUUCACCAGUUGUAUUUGUGAUUUGUACUAUGUGGCAGUGCCAAUUGCAAUAUGAAUUGAAUGUCUAAUUUCAUAAAAUGGGCCCGUCCUCAUUUUUUUCCCAGGACCCAAUUCUGGGACUGCCCUAAUACAAGCUGAAUUGAUGGCAUCUGAUGUUAUGUUGAGUAUAUGAAGAAACCUUGUAGUUUUAUUCAGGAAUGACGCAUUGAAAGUGCCAUUAAUACUCUGAGGUAUCUCUUCUAUAAAUGUUCACUUGCUGGAAGACGCUUUUAGGGUUAUUUACAAAAAUGAGAAAAUGAAGUGAAUUCAAGGUGAACUUCAAAUUUAAAUAAACACUAUAGGGUCAGGAGCACAAACAAUGAUUCCUCACCGUAUACUGUUAAAACUACCAUUUAAAACCCCUGGUGCCCCCUUGCCUCCAUAAAUAUAGUAUACUCUUACCUUUAUUCCAGUCUGCUACUGCUGGCGUUGCCCCUGAUCUGUCUGCUUGGCUGACAUUAUCAGAAGUGAUGAUCUCAGCCUAAUACAAUGCUUCCCCAUAGGACUGAGACUGUCAAUGAGGCAGACCAGGGGCAGAGCUAGCACAAAACAAACACAAGCUCUGGCCAAUCAGCAUCUCCUCAUAGAGAUACACUGAAUCAAUGCAUAUUUAUGAGGAAAGUUCAGUGUCUCCACGCAGAGGUCGGAGACACUGAAUGUCAGCCAUAGUGUGCAGCACUGCCCCAGGAAGCACCUCUAGUAACCAUCUGAGGAAUGGCCAGUGGAGGUAUCCCUUUUAUAUCCUAGCAAAAAUCCUGAUUAUACUAACCAGAACAAAUAUAAUAAGCUGUAGUUUUUGGGUGACUAUAGGUGUCCCUCUAAGGCCAGAGUAGCCAAACUCAUAAACGUAUAGCUGAAUUAAAGAAUUUUUCCAGUUUGACAAUUUUGACCUUGAGUUUGAAAUUCACUUUGGGUUCUCACUUUAGUGAAUAACUUUGUUUAUUUGAUACAGGAAUACACAUACCUUAAUAUGGAUUUAAAAAUGGUUAAAAUGCUCUUCCAACAGUGAAAAUGCAUUAUCCAGUGCAGCAUGGGGAAAGAAAAUUGUAAACCUACCUGUAGGAUUAGUAAAUGGCUUGCUUCUUUGUCCAGCAUGAUUGUGUAACAUGC